CAGAAUCUCAUCCAGGAUACCUCAUCACAGGCUGGAGUGCAGUGUCAUGAGCUUGGCUCACUACAGCCUCCAUCUUCUGUGCUUAAGGAUCCUUCCCUCUCAGCCUCCAGGGUAGCUGAGACUGCAGGUAUGUGCCACCAUGCUGGGCUAAUUUAUUGUUGUUGUUGUUUGUUAGUUUUUUUGGUAGAGGCAAGGUUUCACCAUGUUACCCAGGCGAGGGUCAAACUCCUGGGCUCAAGUGAUAUUUAUUUUGUUAUAGAGAUGGGGUCUUUAUGUGCUGGCCAGGCUGGUCUGGGAUUACAGGCGUGAGCCACUGUGCCUGGCCAAAAAGUGCCAUUCUCAUCAUAUCAUACCAAGUGUACAAACUGUCAACAAGAGUAGACAUUCAUUAUUGGCAGAAUGUCUACAAAUUCCUUUAAACCUUCACCAUAAACAUGUGCCUAUUCUUUUCCAAUUAUUUCAUGUGUAUUAAUGUAUUUACUUAUACAUGCAUCUUUUAUUUAUAUCAUUAUCUAAAUAUGGAUAUUUAUUUUACAAUGCAUAUGUGCUAUUUUUUUUUUUUUUUGAGACAGAGCCUUUCUGUGUUGCCCAGCCUGGAGUGCAAUGGUGCGAUCUCAGCUCAUUGCAACCUCUGCCUCCUGGGUUCAAGCGAUUCUCGUGCCUCAGCCUCUCAACUGGCUGGGAUUACAGGCAUGAGACACUACACCUGGCUAAGUUUUGUAUUUUCAGUAGAGACAGGGUUUCACCAUGUUGGCCAGUUUGGUCUCAAACUCCAUACCUCAGACGAUCCACCCUCCUUGGCCUCCCAAAGUGCUGGGAUUACAGGCAUGAGCCACCAUGCUUGGCCACUAUUUUUUUUUAAUUGCACAAAGUGUUCCAGUGUUGGCUAUUGGAAGAUUUUUAAGUUGUCUCUUGUAUCAUUUUGAAAUACCUCCAUAACUAAAGUUUAAUGUUGUGUGGUUGGUUGGUUUUGUUGUUGUUUGGCAUUUUCUUUUGUUCAGUCACUAUUAUAUGCUCCAGUCUGUGAAUUUAAUUGUGCUCCAGGGUAAUUUGGUAAUUUUAUAAUUUCUACUAAUGUUUCUAACACCAUAUGACCUAAUCCAGCACCAUAUAAAUGGAUCCACUCAUUCUCAUUUGUAUGUAAUCUAGCACUCCCUGCAAGCAAGUUGAUGUUGUUAAUUUAAUCACACUACCUGAACAAGGUAUAUUGCUAUGUAAAAAAAUAGAAGUUGAAACAGUCAAAAUACUGUGUAAUUCCAUUUAUAUGACUCUCUAGAAAAG
rnacentral:lncRNA from 1 species